UGGGGAAUUUUGCACAAUGGGGGAAACCCUGAUGCAGCGACGCCGCGUGAUUUAGAAGGCCUUCGGGUUGUAAAAAUCUUUUCUAUGGGAAGAAAAUGACAGUACCAUAGGAAUAAGGUCCGGCUAAAUACGUGCCAGCAGCCGCGGUAAUACGUAUGGACCGAGCGUUGUCCGGAAUCAUUGGGCGUAAAGGGUACGUAGGCGGCCUAGUAAGUUAGAAGUUAAAGAAUAUAGCUCAACUAUAUAAAGCUUUUAAAACUGCUAGGCUUGAGAGAUGGAAGGGAAAGUGGAAUUCCUAGUGUAGCGGUGAAAUGCGCAGAUAUUAGGAAGAAUACCGGUGGCGAAGGCGACUUUCUGGUCAUCAUCUGACGCUGAGGUACGAAAGCGUGGGUAGCAAACAGG
rnacentral:rRNA from 1 species